GGAGAGGAACAUCUCUCACUACAAACUACUUAGGGGGAAAAUGUCCUCUUUCAUGCCUGACUCUACUAUGCAUUCCAAGUUUUUCUUCUCUAUGAUAAUUUCUCUCUUAAUAGCAGGUGGUGAACUGGAUAGCAGAGUCACUCAACAUCCAAGUUACCUGGUUUCAAGGACAGGACAGUCAGUGACCCUGGGAUGUGACCCCAUCUCUGGACACCUUGGGGCAUUCUGGUACCGUCAGAUACUGGGUCAGGGCCCUGAGAUGCUCUUUUCCGUGUAUAAUAAGGGAGACCCUGAGAAAGGAGAAAUCUCUGAUCGAUUCACAGCCAAACAGGGCAUCGAUUUGCACUUCAAGCUCAACAUCAGUUCCUUGGAGCAGGGGGAUUCUGCCCUCUAUCUCUGUGCCAGCAGCAAAGACACAGUGCCACACAGGCACGUCCCAUCUGUUCACAAACCUGUUUGGCCCAAGCCCAGAAAGCAAUAA